rnacentral:lncRNA from 1 species
CUGAUGACUGAGGAGCCUGGUAGCUCCAGGUCGCCCACACUUUCAGGUCUCUUGCACCAGAAGGUGGCAGGAUCCAUUGGGAGGAAACAGGUCACCUUGGAAGGCGUCCCUGGGCCCCCAUCCCCAGGGGUAGGGGCCGUAGGGGGCCCGCUCUGCUGCCUUGACCAGACUCCUGGGCAUUGAAGGCUCCUGGGCCCAGUAAGAAGGAGGUGGGUGCCAAGGUUGAGGAGGAAGCAUCCGAGUAUGUGUAGGAGGAGGACAAGGUGGGACCAUAGACUUUGCCAAAAGCUGCAGGUGGAUCGGGGGACCCUGGGGGCUCAGGAUCCAGCAAGGGGCGGCAGGAGUAAAGGAGGAAGGAAUGACAGGUGCAAAUACCUUCCCACCAAAGCCCUUGUUGCCCUCUGGCUCCUCCCCAGAGUUGUCCCCACUCUCAGUCGGUCACCCACUCCUUGAACUUGAGAUCGGUGUCAGUGGUGCUAAAGCCAUCAUCAGCAAUGACAUCAUCACCCCCUCCUCCUCAUGGAUGACCGUGUGCUCCUCGUCACUUGCUAUGUCCUCACUGGCCAUGUGCUGGGAAUGAGCAGCUCAGGUGGGCAGCAGCAGGGCUGCCCACUGGUCACCUCCCUCACCAGGGGCUGCAAAGUGGCCUGGAGCUCCAUACUGAGUAGAAGGCUUUGGGCCAGAGUAUGAUGCAGUGCCAGACACCACCUGUGUCAGUUCCCGUAGUGCCUGACGGUCUAUUUCCCUGCCGUCCAGGCUGUGUACCCCACUGUGGGAGAAGGCUUGGGCCAGGCUAAGCCAGGUUCCCUGACUGUGUGCAGCCAUUCUGCCCCACAGAAGCUGCUCCUUGGUAUCCGAGCUCUGGAGUGUUUGGGCUGCAACUGACAGGAGUUCAGAGGACACCCCAGGGGCAGUGGCAGUGCCCGUCUCUGAUAUUCUCCGCUCCCACGAGCCCUUGUUACACUCCUGCUAGCCCCUGGCUUGUGGGCUUGGCCUCUGAGCUGGACUUCUUUCGGUCCUUGUUGCAAGUGGGCCACCUUCACCUGGAAGGCCAGGUCGUGGUAUUUCUGCGUCUCAUUGGGCCCCAGGGUGUACCACCGCUUGCUCAGCAUCUGGCUGACGGUCCGGUUGUCCUGGUUGGGGUGACCCUGGUGCGCCCUGCCAGGGCCUGGUGCCGCUUGCUGAAGAUCAUGACCGCCACUCAUGGGCCACCGGAUGUGGUCCUUGUCCCAUUUGUUGGGGCUGCAUCCAUCCUUCUCAGAAGAUGAGUCCUGUUCCUUGCGCAGGGCACUGAGGGACUGGGCCUGACAUCAUCUGGCUGGUAGAGGCAACUGGGUGUCAGGAGACAUGAUGGAGAGGAAAGCAUCAUCAUGGUCAUUCUCUGUCUCACUGUCCAGCAGGGACUCCCCUGAGGGGCCCAGGGCUCCUCCUCCAUGGUGGGAGGUGAGCUUUUACCAGGUUCCACCACCCCCAAAGUGUGUGGGGUUGCGGGCCCUGGGCUUUCAGGGCAGGUGGCUCCAGGGGGCCACCCAGGGUCAGCACUCCCUGUCCCACCUGGUGGACACUCAUGAGCAACAGCUGCUGACUUGGCAGGUUCUUUGCUCUGGUUGGAGGCCACUGAGUGACUGGCAGGUUGCUGGACCUCACAUAGCUGCAGGGAGGGGUCAGGAAGGGGACAGAGUACCAGGAGAACACAGCCACAGAGCAAGGUUCCACGUUCCUCCACACAAACAUGCUGACGCCACUGGAGGCCUCGCUGGACGCAGACAUCAGGGGCCUGUGGGCCAAGUACAUGGUCUGGGCAGGGGGUUCCUGGCAGGGGCUCACACCUCCUCAGCCCCCUCCUCAGCCAAGGCAGCUUGGACCCACGGAAGUGGGGAUGGAAGGGGAGCAUGAGGCCAGGCCUCAAGUUUUUGUUUUUGUUUUUUUUUUUUUUGAGAUGCAGUUUGGCAGGCUGGAGUGCAGUGGUGCGAUCUCAGCUCACUGAAACCUCCACUUCCUGGGUUCAAGCAAUUCUCCGGCCUCAGCCUCCCAUGUAUAUGCACCUUUACUGCUGAAUAUUAUAUAUUUUCUUAUGCUUUCAUGUGAUUGAUUAGCAUUCUUUUUUUUUUUCUUUUUGAGACAGAGUGUUGCUGUCGCCCAGGCUGGAGGGCAGUGGUGUGAUCUCGGCUCACUGCAACCUCUGCUUCAUGGUUUAAUUGAUUCUCCUGCCUCAGCCCCCUGAGUAGUUGGGAUUACAGGCACCCGCCACCACACCUGGUUAAUUUUUUGCAUUUUUAGAAGGCGUGGGUUUUUGCCAUGUUGGCCUGGCUGGACUUGACCUCCUGACCUCAAGUGAUCCACCCUCCUUGGCCUCCCAAAAUGCUGGGAUUACAGGCAUGAGCCACCACACCCAGCUGCUUUCUUUCAUUUUUACUUGAAAAACUCCAUUAAGCAUUUCUUUUAAAGUAGACCUAGUGGUGGCUCAUACCUAUAAUCCCAGCACUCUGGGAGGCCAAGGUUUCAGGAUCGCUUGAGCCCAGGAGUUCAAGACCAGCCUGGGUAACAUAAUGAGACACCAUCUCUACAAAAAAUGCAAAAAUUAGCUGAGCAUGGUGGCACGCACCUGUAGUCCCAGCUACCUGGGAUGCUGAGGUGGGAGGAUCACUUGAGCCCGGGAAGUCACAGCUGCAGUGAGCCAUGAUCGCACCACUGCACUCCAGCCUGAACAACAGUGUGAGACCCUGUUUUUUAUUUUUUAUUUUUAUUUAUUUAUUUUUUAAAGACAUAGGUAGCUAGAGUAAUACAGAGAUGAAAGGGAGAGUAUUCACACACGCUUCUUAAAAUAGAAAUUACUAAAUUUUAUUUUACUUAAAAUAAAAUUUAGCUGUGAGGAUUCUCCACAAGGCUGCUCAUGACAUGGCAGAUGGCUUCCCCUUGGGUGGAAUGACAGGAGGGCGAGGGCCAAGGUGAGGGUGGUACGGAGAGAGAAAAAACUACCAAGAUGAAAGCUGCAGUGCCUUUUAUAACCUAAUCUUGGAAGGGACAUAUCACUACUUGUGCCUUAUCCUUUCAGUCACACAGACCAACCCUGAUAUGUUAUGGAUAGGGACUUGGAGACUGCUCCAAAGACCAGGAGGUGACGAUCACUGGGGUCCUCUGGGAGACUGGCCACCACAGUUGCCUUUUCCUUUUCAGGUCACUUACAAGGGUCUUUGUUGCUAUGGAGGUGGAUGUGGGCAUAAUCAAAGGGUACAUGUUGUACAGGCCUUUAUUAUACAAACCUCUACAAUAAAACAAUAACACAUCACUGCCAAGACAGUUAUACAGUGUUAAAUUGGAAUGGAAAGGAAGGAAUCAGAAUUUCAUGUGAUAGAACACUUAAAAGUCUGCCUGUGCACAUGUAUGAAUAUGCAUUAGGGAGAAGUAAAAGAGUGACCUGAAAAUCUUCCUAAAGUAAUAUUAUCUAGAAAGUUUGAGAGGUUUAACUGUGGCUAACAAGAUUUCCUGAAGAUAAAAUGUUCCUGGGGCCUUAAUAGUUACAAGAACUUUACCAAAUCAAGAAAGCAAAUAUAUAGGAGUCUAAAAAUUAUUUAGUUUUGCAUAUUCAUUUCAGAGUACCAAUUAUGAUUUUAUUUCUUUUUAAUUUUUAAAAGUUUAGAAAAAAAACGAGAACCAAUUACAAUGUUAAAAGGAAACAGGAAGGAUAGAUUUGGGGCCAAUUAUAUUACUGUUUGGGUUUUUGUUACUAUAAAAAUGGAAAUAUUAAAGAUUUUAAAAAAUGAGUGGUAAUAGAGUACAAAUCUGCAAAUGAUGAAUCAGCAAUUAUAUUUUUAUACCAAAUGGUAUGUUUGUGAUAUUGAUAUAGUAUUAAUGCACUGUGAAUUUAUUUAUUUAUUUUGAGAUGGAAUCUUGCUCUGUCGUGCAGACUGGUGUGCAGUGGUGCGAUCUCAGCUCACUGCAACCUCUGAUAUGGUUUAGCUGUGUCCCCACCCAAAUCUCAUCUUGAAUUCCUAUGUGUUGUGGGAGGGACCUGGUGGAAGGUCCAUGAAUGAUGGGGGCAAUCAAUUCUUUCCUGUGCUGUUCUUAUGAUAGUAAAUAAGUCUCACAAGAUCUGAUUUUUUUUUUUUUUUUUUUUUUUUUUUUUUCCAAGACAGAGUCUCACUCUGUCACCCAGGCUGGUGUGAAGUGGUACAAUCUCAGCUCACUGCAGCCUCUGCCUCCCGGGUUCAAGUGAUUCUCCUGUCUCAGCCUCCCAAGUAGUUGGGAUUACAGUUGCCUGCCACCAUGCCUGGCUAAUUUUUGUAUUUUUAGUAGAGAGGGGAUUUCACCAUGUUGGCCAGGCUGGCCUUGAAGUCCUGACUUCAGAUAAUCUGCCUGUCUCAGCUUCCCAAAGUGCUGGGAUUACAGGCGUGAGCCACUGUGCCCAGCUGAGAUCUGAUGGUUUUAAAAAGAGGAGCUCCCCUGCAUGAGAUCUCACUUUUUGCCUGCUACCAUUUAUGUAAGAUGUGACUUGCUCCUUCUUGCCUUCCAUCAUGACUGUGAAGCUUCCCCAGCCAUAUGGAAUUGUAAGUUCAAUUAAACUUCUUUUCUUUGUAAAUUACCCAGUCUCGGGUAUGUCUUUAUCGGCAGCAUGAAAACGGACUAAUACAGUAAAUUGGUACCAGGAGUGGGAUGUUCUGAAAAGAUAUCUGAAAAUGUGGAAACGACUUUGGAACUGGGUAAUAGGCAGAGGUUGGAACAGUUUUGAGGGCUCAGAAAAAGACAGGAAAAUGUGGAAAAGCUUGGAACUUUCUAGAGACUUGUUGAAUGGCUUUGCCAAAAAUGCUGAUAAUGAUAUGGACAAUAAGACCCAGGCUGACGUGGUCUCCGAUGGAGCUGAGGAACUUACUGGGAACUGGAGCAAAGGUGACUCUUGUUAUGUUUUAGCAAAGCGACUGGCAGCAUUUUGCCCCUGCCCUAGAGAUGUGUGGAACUUUGAACUUGAGAGAGAUGAUUUAGGGUAUCUGGCAGAAGAAAUUUCUAAGCAGCAAAGCAUUCAAGAGGUGACUUGGGUGCUGUUGAAAGCAUUCAGUUUUAAAAGGAAAACAGAGGAUAGAAGUUUGAAAAAUUUGCAGCCUGGCAAUGCGAUAGAAAAUUGCAUUUUCUGAAUAGAAAUUCAAGCCAGCUGCAGAAAUUUGCAUAAGGAAGGAGGAGCCAAAUGUUAAUCCCCAAGACAAUGGGGAAAAUGUCUCCAGGCCAUGUCAGAGGCCUUCACGGCAGUCCCUCCCAUCACAGGCCCAGAAGCCUAGGAGGAAAAAGUGGUUUCAUGGGCUGGGCCCAGGGUCCCCAAGCUAUGUGCAGCCUGGGGUUUGGUCCACUGCAUCCCAGCUGCCCCAGCUGUGGCUGAAAGGGGACAAUGUAGAGCUCGGGCCCUGGCUUUAGAUGGUGCAAGCCCCAUGCCUUGUGGUGUUGAGCUUCCAUGUGGUGUUGAGCCUGCAGGUGCACAGAAGUCAAGAAUUGAGGUUUUGGAACCUCCACCUAGAUUUCAGAAGAUGUAUGGAAAUGCCUGGAUGCCCAGGCAGAAAUUUGCUGCAAGGGUGGGGCUCUCAUGGAGAACCUCUGCUAGGGCAGUGCAGAAGGGAAAUGUGGGGUCGGAUCCCCCACACAGAGUCCCUACUGGGGCACUGUCCUCCAGACCCAGAAUGGUAGAUCCACUGACAGCUUGCACUGUGUGCCUGGAAAAGCCACAGACACUCAAUGCCAGCCUAUGAAAGCAACCAGGAGGGAGACUGUACCCUGCAAAGCCACAGGGGCAGAGCUGCUCAAGACCAUGGGAACCUACCUCUUGUAUCAGCAUGACCUGGAUGUGAGACAUGGAGUCAAAGGAGAACAUUUUGGAGCUCUAAGAUUUGACUGCCCUGCUGGAUUUUGGACUUGCAUGGGGCCUGUAGCCCCUUUGUUUUGGCCAGUUUCUCCCAUUUGGAAUGGCUAUAUUUACCCAAUGCCUAUACCCCCAUUGUAUCCAGGAAGUAACUAACCUGCUUUUGAUUUUACAGGCUCAUAGGUGGAAGGGACUUGCCUUGUCUCAGAUGAGACUUUAGACUGUGGACUUUUGAGUUAAUGCUGAAAUGAGUUAAGACUUUGGGGGACUGUUAGAAAGGCAUGAUUGGUUUUGAAAUGCGAGAUCAUGAGAUUUGGGAGGGGCCAGGGGCAGAAUGAUAUGGUUUGGCUGUGUCCCCAUCCGAAUCUCAUCUUGAAUUUCUGUGUGUUGUGGGAGGGACAGGUGGGAGGUCAUUGAAUGAUGGGGGCAAGUCUUUUCUGUACUGUUCUUGUGAUAGUGAAUAAGUCUCAUGAGAUCUGAUGGUUUUAAAAAGAGGAGUUUCCCUGCUCAAGCUCUCUCUCUUUGCCUGCUGCCAUCCCUGUAAGAUGUGACUUGCUCCUCCUUGCCAUCUGCCAUGAUGUGAGGCUUCCCCAGCCACGUGGAACUGUAAGUCCAAUUAAACCUCUUUUCUUUGUAAAUUAUCCAGUCUUGGGUACGUCUUUAUCAGCAGCGUGAAAACAGACUAAUGCACUCUGCCUCCUGGGGUUCAAGCAAUUCUCAUGCCUUAACCUUCCAGGUAGCUGGGACUACAGGUGUGGACUACCAUGCCUGGCUAAUUUUUGUAUUUUUGGUAGAAACAGGGUUUUACCAUGUUGGCCAGGCUGGUCUUGAACUUCUGCCUCAAGUGAUCCACCUGCCUCGGCCUCCCAAAGUGCUGGGAUUACAGGCAUGAGCCACCGCACCUGGCCUGCACUGUGAAUGUAUAAUCCCAGUGAUUAGAUAUGGAUAUUAAUGUUAUUCAUUUCCUUUUUACCUUAUUUUAUGUUUGUUUUUAAUAAUAAUAAUUUUGUAACAUUUGAAGAUAUAAAUAUCCUUAAAUACUUUUACAGUCAUGUUAAAAAUUCUUCGGAUUUCAAAAACAAUGAAAAAAUUGAUAAUGCAUUUGGAAAUUGUAGAAAUAUGAGAGAGUCCUAAUUUUGAAAAUGAGGCACUCUGAUACAGGUCAGUUGUACAAGGACAUGAGUACAUUAGUACUUUGAUACCUUCAUGUUUGGCAGUUAUAGUCAGGUACUUCUUUUAUGAAUUUAAAAUUAGUAAUUUAUUUUAUGACCAACUUCAACUUUUCAGGAGCUGUUAUUGUGAAAGUUUUUUUGCUACUAUGAGUUUUAUCCAGUCAGAAACAG